rnacentral:rRNA from 1 species
GACGAACGCUGGCGGCGUGCUUAACACAUGCAAGUCGAACGGUAAGGCCCUUCGGGGUACACGAGUGGCGAACGGGUGAGUAACACGUGGGUGAUCUGCCCUGCACUUCGGGAUAAGCCUGGGAAACUGGGUCUAAUACCGGAUAGGACCAUGGACUUCACGGUUUGUGGUGGAAAGCUUUUGCGGUGUGGGAUGGGCCCGCGGCCUAUCAGCUUGUUGGUGGGGUAAUGGCCUACCAAGGCGACGACGGGUAGCCGGCCUGAGAGGGUGUCCGGCCACACUGGGACUGAGAUACGGCCCAGACUCCUACGGGAGGCAGCAGUGGGGAAUAUUGCACAAUGGGCGCAAGCCUGAUGCAGCGACGCCGCGUGAGGGAUGACGGCCUCGGUUGUAACC